rnacentral:rRNA from 1 species
CCUACGGGUGGCAGCAGUGAGGAAUAUUGGUCAAUGGGCGCGAGCCUGAACCAGCCAAGUAGCGUGAAGGAUGACUGCCCUACGGGUUGUAAACUUCUUUUGUAAAGGAAUAAAGUGAGGCACGUGUGCCUUUUUGCAUGUACUUUAUGAGUAAGGAUCGGCUAACUCCGUGCCAGCAGCCGCGGUAAUACGGAGGAUCCGAGCGUUAACCGGAUUUAUUGGGUUUAAAGGGAGCGUAGAGGGGUUGUUAAGUCAGUUGUGAAAGGUUGCGGCUCAACCGUAGAAUUGCACUUGAUACUGGCAGUCUUGAGUAUAGUUGAGGUAGGCGGAAUUCGUGGUGUAGCGGUGAAAUGCGUAGAUAUCACGAAGAACUCCGAUUGCGAAGGCAGCUUACUAAACUGCCACUGACAUUGAUGCUCGAAAGUGUGGGUAUCAAACAGGAUUAGAUACCCUGGUAGUC